rnacentral:pre_miRNA from 1 species
AAUAAGAUCAUUUUUUAGUUUUUUGAUGCAAUGUUUUGACUGUUUCUCUUAUUUGAAAUUUUAAAUACUAGAUGAUAAAACAUGAAUAGUACUUUAUGCGUGACUAAUUUUUUAAAAUUUUUGUAUAAAUUUUUCAAAUAAGACUAAUGGUCAAACGUCGGACACGGAAAAACA